CUUUAUAAACUAGGUUCUACUCACCAUUAAUAUGUGGCUAAAUUAGCUUUUCCUUAAUGGAAACAAGAAAGAGAGGUGUCUUAUUCUAUGUGGACCACAGUAACCAAUGAAAAGGAAACCAAAACAAAGUGUUCAAGGCGUUGAAGGCCAUGCACAAGGAACAAGAAAUAGGUUUAGAACUCAUGAACUAUGGCCCACUACUUAGCACAACCAUGCU
rnacentral:lncRNA from 1 species